rnacentral:rRNA from 1 species
GAUGAACGCUGGCGGCGUGCCUAAUACAUGCAAGUCGAGCGAACAGACGAGGAGCUUGCUCCUCUGACGUUAGCGGCGGACGGGUGAGUAACACGUGUAUAACCUACCUAUAAGACUGGGAUAACUUCGGGAAACCGGAGCUAAUACCGGAGAAUAUAUUGAACCGCAGGGUUCAAUAGUGAAAGACGGUUUUGCUGUCACUUAUAGAUGGAUCCGCGCCGCAUCAGCUAGUUGGUAAGGUAACGGCUUACCAAGGCAACGAUGCGUAGCCGACCUGAGAGGGUGAUCGCCCACCCUGGAACUGAGACACGCUCCAGACUCCUACGGGAGGCAGCAGUCGGGAAUCUUCCGCAAUGGGCGAAAGCUUGACGGAGCAACGCCGCGUGAGUGAUGAAGGUCUUCGGAUCGUAAAACUCUGUUAUUAGGGAAGAACAAAUGUGUAAGUAACUAUGCACGUCUUGACGGUACCUAAUAAGAAAGCCCCGGCUAACUACGUG